GACGAACGCUGGCGGCGUGCUUAACACAUGCAAGUCGAGCGGUAAGGCCCUUUCGGGGGUACACGAGCGGCGAACGGGUGAGUAACACGUGGGUGACCUGCCCUUAGCUCUGGGAUAAGCCUGGGAAACUGGGUCUAAUACCGGAUAUGACUCCAUGACGCAUGUUGUGGGGUGGAAAGCCUUGUGCGGCUAGGGAUGGGCCCGCGGCCUAUCAGCUUGUUGGUGGGGUGAUGGCCUACCAAGGCGACGACGGGUAGCCGGCCUGAGAGGGCGACCGGCCACACUGGGACUGAGACACGGCCCAGACUCCUACGGGUGGCAGCAGUGGGGAAUCUUGCGCAAUGGGCGAAAGCCUGACGCAGCGACGCCGCGUGAGGGAUGACGGCCUCGG
rnacentral:rRNA from 1 species